rnacentral:rRNA from 1 species
CAAUAGCGUAUAUUAAAGUUGUUGCAGUUAAAAAGCUCGUAGUUGGAUUUGUGGCGUACGGUGUGUUCCGGGCACUUGUUGCCUGAGUAACCUGCUGUUGCCAUCCUUGGGUGGAACCUGUGCGGCAUUAGGUUGUCGUGCAGGGGAUGCCCAUCAUUUACUGUGAAAAAAUUAGAGUGUUCAAAGCAGGCUUAUGCCGUUGAAUAUAUUAGCAUGGAAUAAUGAGAUAGGACUUUUUUGCUAUUUUGUUGGUUUGCGCAAAGAGGUAAUGAUUAAUAGGGACAGUUGGGGGUAUUCGUAUUCCAUUGUCAGAGGUGAAAUUCUUGGAUUUUUGGAAGACGAACUACUGCGAAAGCAUUUACCAAGGAUGUUUUCAUUAA